CCCGGUUAUCCCGACCUGCCUUCCGGAUCUUCUCGAUUACUCUCCGAUCUUCAGCCCCCCCGGCCUCCGACCACCAGACGAGCGAGCCCAGACGCGUCACCACCCUCAGCCCGAGACGCCGCUCGAUCACUGGGACACACACACACACACACACACACACACACACACACACACACACUCAGCACCUUGGACUGGAACCCCCCGGAAACUUGGUGACCCCCGGAGCCCAGGUAACCCACAGGACCCUGAAAAACCCCAGAGCCCCGAGGAGCCCUGGAACCCCUGACACCCCUGGCACUCCUAGCACCCCUGGAACCGGAACCCUUCAAUAAAAAGACUCUGAAUUUGAA